GCCGAGGUGGCGGAAUUGGUAGACGCACUGGAUUCAAAAUCCAGCGAUGGUGACAUCAUGGGGUUCGAUUCCCCCGGCACCA
rnacentral:tRNA from 1 species